rnacentral:snRNA from 1 species
GUGACGACACAUAUGCUAAAAUUAGAGCAAUGUAGGAAGAUGAGCAUGGCCCCCAAACAGGGACGACAGACAAAUUUAUGCAGCACUCCAUAUUUUU